rnacentral:lncRNA from 1 species
AGAGUUAAAUAUUAAUAUUUCCUGACACAUUAAAAACUACCUGAUCUCAAGUGUUAAUGGCCACAGGCAAAGUUGGAUGAGAGGAUGGCCAGCUCCAUUCACUGCCCAGGGGCGGUGAAUGACCCAGGGGCGGCUGCUUCACAGCUGCAGACCGGAGCAUCUGGACAGAUGGCAGAUAGCUCAGAGUGGACACAUCCGGCCCGUCCACCACAGAGAAUCUGUGACCUUUGAGAUGGAGUUCGUGUUCGGAUCAGAGUUGGGCUUUUGGAAGAUGCCCUGGCUGAGUCCUGCUCUUCAGAUCCUCACUUCAUCACGAAACCCUCGGCUGGAAUUCGCGGUGGCCUUGGGAGCAGAGGGGCUUGGAACGACC